rnacentral:lncRNA from 1 species
CAAAGUGCUGGGAUUACAGGCGUGAGCCACUGCCCCCGGCCGCAUGGGGAGUUCUAAUUGACUCAUUUCAGUGGCAAUGUAAAUUUGGGAGAACGAAAUUAUCAUCUCACAUCUGCCACCAACUGCUGUUAGCUGUAGAAUGUCAUACGCGUCCAUGUGAAGAGACCACCAAACAGGAUUUGUGAUAUUGCCACGGUUUCUACGGGACUGAACAAAGGGGGACCCACACAGGAAUGAAAACUUAAAACAAAACAGCCACUAAGGAAGGCGCAGAGGGACUUCCUUUCGGCCCGAAACAGUAUCUGUGCUGCCAAAGUUGUUUUCCUUGUGACUCAAAUGAGGAAGAAUAAACUUGGUUUAGGACUAUUCAAUGCCAGUGUUUUCAGAUGGCUCCACCAGCAGAGAACAGAGAAGGGGAGAAGAGGAAAAGCAGCUGGACGUCGGGGACUGCGGUUUGACGUCGGAGAGAAGCAGCUUGACUUCAGAGGGACAGCUUGACCGCUUUGCUUUGGAGAGGAGUCUGGCUGGGGAUGGCUGGACUCCAGGGGAAGAUCGUCUUCCUGUUCCAUCCCUUUUCCAGCUCCCCUCCCACUGAGAGCCACUUUCAUUGGCAAUAAAAUCCUCCAUAUUCACCACCCUUCAAUUCGUUCAUGCGACCUGAUUUUUCCUGGAUGCCAAACAAGAGCCCAGGUGCCACAGGUGUGGAUACUAAAGGCUGUCACACUGACCCUUUGCCCUUGCUGGCAGAGAGCAACCACUUCAUGCAAAAAGGCAGAGGGCCCACUGAGGUAUUUAACACUUAAGCUGUCCGUGGACAGCCAAGCUAAAAGAACACUGUAACACACUCCCUCUGGGGCUUCUGGGGUCCCUGGUAUUCCUGACGAGACACUGUCAUGGGGCCUGCAGGGAGUUUUGCUCCUGCCAACACCCAAAAGCACUCUUUCUGGCUCCUGCACCCGCUCACCUGCGUGCUUCCCCUUCCCUCAAGGGCUUGAGAGCUGCAGGCUGAGUAAGUAGGCACCCUUGUCACGAGGUCCAAAAAGGGAUCAAGGAAAAUUUCCUGUUUCAGUGCUUUGGCAAAAACUUGAGUCAAUGAUACAGAAAAGUUAUGAGAGUUGAAAUCCUUGUCUAGUUCCCACUCAUAAUUCACUGAUUUUUAUUUCUGUAGUUUAUAAUCUGAGGUUAAUUCUAUCCAAUAAUAUUUUCAUUGUAGUAAUUGGGUAAUUUUUAUAUUUAGAUAUUGCUUUUGGUUUCUUUUUUGUAACGUCCAGUUCUCCAUUUUUUUGGUACAUAUAAAUAAAUAUAAUAACUCUUUUAAUGUUAUUAUUUGAUAAUUUAAUCAUCUCUGUCAAUUCUAUGUUUCUAUUGACUAUUUCCCCCCCAAUCGUAAGUCUAAUUUUCUUGUUUGUAUGUGCAGUAGUUAAAAAAUUCAAAUUAAAAAUAUUGCAAAUUUCUGGCCAGGUGUGGUGGCUCAUGCUUGUAACCCCAGCAUUUUGGGAGGUGGAGGCAGGCAAAUCACUUGAGGUCUGGAGUUCUCCAGCCUGGCCAACAAGGUGAAACCUGUCUCUACUAAAAAUACAAUUAG